rnacentral:rRNA from 1 species
GAUGAACGCUGGCGGUAUGCUUAACACAUGCAAGUCGAACGGACUCUUCGGAGUUAGUGGCGGACGGGUGAGUAACGCGUGAGAAUCUGGCUUUGGGUUCGGGACAACCACUGGAAACGGCGGCUAAUACCGGAUGUGCCGAGAGGUAAAAGAGAAAUUGCCUGAAGAUGAGCUCGCGUCUGAUUAGCUAGUUGGUGAGGUAAAGGCUCACCAAGGCAGCGAUCAGUAGCUGGUCUGAGAGGAUGACCAGCCACACUGGGACUGAGACACGGCCCAGACUCCUACGGGAGGCAGCAGUGGGGAAUUUUCCGCAAUGGGCGAAAGCCUGACGGAGCAAUACCGCGUGAGGGAAGAAGGCUCUUGGGGUGUAAACCUCUUUUCUUAGGGAAGAACAAAAUGACGGUACCUAAGGAAUCAGCAUCGGCUAACUCCGUG